GUGGGGAAUCUUCCGCAAUGGACGAAAGUCUGACGGAGCAACGCCGCGUGAGUGAAGAAGGUCUUCGGAUUGUAAAGCUCUGUUAAUCGGGACGAAAGAGCCUAGUGUGAAUAAUGCUAGGAAGUGACGGUACCGGAAUAGAAAGCCACGGCUAACUACGUGCCAGCAGCCGCGGUAAUACGUAGGUGGCAAGCGUUGUCCGGAAUUAUUGGGCGUAAAGCGCGCGCAGGCGGAUCUGCCAGUCUGUCUUAAAAGUUCGGGGCUUAACCCCGUGAUGGGAUGGAAACUACAGAUCUAGAGUAUCGGAGAGGAAAGUGGAAUUCCUAGUGUAGCGGUGAAAUGCGUAGAUAUUAGGAAGAACACCAGUGGCGAAGGCGACUUUCUGGACGAAAACUGACGCUGAGGCGCGAAAGCCAGGGGAGCGAACGGGAUUAGAUACCCCAGUAGUCC
rnacentral:rRNA from 1 species